UACGAAGGGGGCUAGCGUUGUUCGGAAUCACUGGGCGUAAAGCGCACGUAGGCGGAUUGUUAAGUCAGAGGUGAAAUCCCGGAGCUCAACUUCGGAACUGCCUUUGAUACUGGCAAUCUCGAGUCUGGAAGAGGUUGGUGGAACUGCGAGUGUAGAGGUGAAAUUCGUAGAUAUUCGCAAGAACACCAGUGGCGAAGGCGGCCAACUGGUCCAGUACUGACGCUGAGGUGAGAAAGCGUGGGGAGCAAACAGG
rnacentral:rRNA from 1 species